CUGACAGUGAGUGGCUGGCGGGGGUUGGUGUGGGGUAUGACUGAGGUAUUGGACCUCAGGUCUGUGUGUCCGCCUGUAGUUAAACCACCAGCAGCAGGAAUAUUUAUACAAGUGGCGGCAAUUAGGUUGUGAUUGAGAGCUGUGUUGGUGGAUCAUAUUACAGGCGGAUGAUGGACCUGACAUGUGGGUCUGUAACAGGAUCUACAUUCAUGGCCAGAUUUGACCUUAAUCAUUCAUACAUGCUCAACUGUGGGCGCAAGAAGAGCGAUGUGACACUAUAUGUUGGGCGUCAAUGUGUACCGACCCUGCCGGCUUCCCAUAAAGCUGACUGAGCGGAAUGGACACACGAAGGGUGACCUUUGACCCCUGCUUCCCCCUCAACCUGCACUCACCAUGACAACGCCUGAAAGAAGCCAUCUCCACUUCCUCGCCCUUUCUCUCUCUCACACUUUCCCUGCUUCUGGGGCUUAUUGUCGCCAUGAAAGUAGUGUUUCCUUUCCACUAAAUGUCAGACUGACCUUGUGUUCUCUGUCCAACAGGAAGGCCCGGCCAUGUACUGUAGGUUCAUGCUCAGUGUUUGACGUUGUUCACUUACAUUGGGCAUUCUUUGUUCUAUUUGAUUUCCUAGAAAAGUUCUUCUUAAGCCAUCCCUGCUUUGUUGUUUAAAGCUUUAUUGUCUUUAUAAGUAAAGAGGCUGAACACAGAUUACAUUAGAUUUAAACUCACAAGGUUUCAAUUAGAUUGUAUUUGUUUCAGCAUAACGCUAUUAGGAUGCCACAGUGAUGAUAUUUGAGUUUGACAGUAUUGACCUUUCCAGUAUAAGCUUCUCUCUUUCUGUCUACAGUAUGUCCCUCCUUCUGCAUCCCUCUCUUCUGAUCUUUCUAAUUCACCCACACAGUAGUUAGUGAAGUGACAGUAUGGUUAUAUUCACAUGAAAAUACCUAUUAGGUAGAAUCUGUGCAUGAAAAUGGUGGACAAUUCUGUACAAGGUUGUUUAAAGAACCUAAUUUGUAAAGGAUCAGCUCAGGACAUCUUAUCUACAAACCGUUUCAACAAUGUCCCAUCUUGGUCACAAUUCUUUUUGAAUUGAUCAGAUUUUAUGGCUCAUUAUUUGUUCAUUGUUAAAUUUGCCAGUUCAUUGCCAGAUGUUUUGUUACACCAGAUGUUUUGUUACACAAAAUCAUCUUGGAAAUAGUGAUUGGCAACUGUGGGAGGCACAAGAAAUACUUUGCAGGUGAUUGGAUUAACCUGUCUAUCAUGAGCGAACUUAACUAAUCUGGUCAACGAACCAUAUAACUUUGUCAAACUCUGACCAAAUCCAGUCAGGAGAAACAUCUUUUCCAUCGAGUAGCCUUCAGUCCUGUUCUUUACUUUUCUUUCAAUAAAGAAUGCGCUCCAGUUCUUAUAUAACUGAUGUUAGCAGCAUCUUUACGAACCACUACUGGAGCUGCCAUUGUGGUUUAA